rnacentral:rRNA from 1 species
GCUACGGGAGGCAGCAGUGAGGAAUAUUGGUCAAUGGGCGCGAGCCUGAACCAGCCAAGUAGCGUGAAGGAUGACUGCCCUACGGGUUGUAAACUUCUUUUAUAAAGGAAUAAAGUGAGGCACGUGUGCCUUUUUGUAUGUACCUUAUGAAUAAGGAUCGGCUAACUCCGUGCCAGCAGCCGCGGUAAUACGGAGGAUCCGAGCGUUAUCCGGAUUUAUUGGGUUUAAAGGGAGCGUAGAUGGGUUGUUAAGGCAGGUGUGAAAGGUUGGGGCUCAACCCUAGAAUUGCAAUUGAAACUGGCAGUCUUGAGUACGGUUGAGGUAGGCGGAAUUCGUGGUGUAGCGGUGAAAUGCUUAGAUAUCACGAAGAACUCCGAUUGCGAAGGCAGCUUGCUGAACUGCCACUGACGUUGAUGCUCGAAAGUGUGGGUAUCGAACAGGAUUAGAUACCCCAGUAGUC